rnacentral:rRNA from 1 species
GGAAUAUUGGGCAAUGGACGCAAGUCUGACCCAGCGACGCCGCGUGCGGGAUGAAGGCCUUCGGGUUGUAAACCGCUUUCAGCAGGGAAGAAGCGAAAGUGACGGUACCUGCAAAAGAAGCACCGGCUAACUAUGUGCCAGCAGCCGCGGUAAUACAUAGGGUGCAAGCGUUGUCCGGAAUUAUUGGGCGUAAAGAGUUCGUAGGUGGUUCGUUACGUCGGAUGUGAAAAUCUGGGGCUCAACCCCAGACCUGCAUUCGAUACGGGCGAGCUAGAGUUUGGUAGGGGAGACUGGAAUUCCUGGUGUAGCGGUGGAAUGCGCAGAUAUCAGGAGGAACACCAAUGGCGAAGGCAGGUCUCUGGGCCAAUACUGACACUGAGGAACGAAAGCGUGGGGAGCGAACAGGAUUAGAUACCCUGGUAGUCCACGCCGUAAACGGUGGGCGCUAGUUGUGGGGACCUUCCACGGUCUCUGCGACGCAGCUAACGCAUUAAGCGCCCCGCCUGGGGAGUACGAUCGCAAGAUUAAAACUCAAAUGAAUUGACGG